rnacentral:rRNA from 1 species
CUAGCCGUAAACGAUGGACACUAGGUGUGGGGGGCCAUCCCCCCGUGCCGCAGCCAACGCACUAAGUGUCCCGCCUGGGGAGUACGGCCGCAAGGCUAAAACUCAAAGGAAUUGACGGGGGCCCGCACAAGCAGCGGAGCAUGUGGCUUAAUUCGAAGCAACGCGAAGAACCUUACCAGGGCUUGACACCUGGGUGAAGCGGCGGAGACGCCGUGGCCGGAAGGAGCCCAGACAGGUGG